rnacentral:lncRNA from 1 species
AAAUAAUAAGAAAUAUCAAUGACCUCGUUAAUACAGCUCUGCAACAGCAAGCAAAAGGGAAGUAUUUCAUCCGUUAAAAUUUACUGUACUUUAUCUUCUAGCUUCUUUAGGCAAAUAUCUGAUACAUAUACGAAAGUUGUUAUAUGGUGUGGAUUGUGGCUCAACAAAUAAGAUUUAGUUCUUAUGAAGGUAUAGCUUCUUUUGGGAUUAGAUUUUCAAUCUGCUCUCAUGUGCAAGCUGGAUCUUCUCUAUAGGUGGAACACAGGGAAAUUUUGCAAGACAAAAGUGAAACUUCUAUUUGUACCUUGUUGAAGUAUGUGGAUCUACGCCAUGUAAAAGUUUAAGCAAGAAGAGAGAGAUGAGAUCAUCAAUUGGUAUGCACCGCACCCUAGUCAUUCUAGGCAAUUUGAUCCAUAACUAGAACAAAGCAUAUUAGCAACAAACUCUAAACUCUUUCUGAUUUUCUCUUUAGCUAUUCUUAGUUUGUUAGAAUUCACAAAAAAAGUGUGAUGGAGAUCAUUCGACUAUUUCACCUACAGGAAAAUAAUAACCCACUAACUUUUUAGAAAGGAGAUGGGAUGUAAAGCUUAAACAGAUCUAAACUGAAAAUCUGAGUCAGCUAGCUUGAGGAAUUAUCAUAAGGCCAAAUAGGUUAACCUAAUGUGUCAACCACAUAUAUGUUUGUCCCUGGCAUGAGCUUAUCGUGACGAGACCGUAAUGCUACCCUUACUCCAUCUUUCUCCAAUUCCUGCAUAAGUUGAGGAAGACAACAUAAAUUCAGUCUAGAUAGAGGAAGUAAUUUACAAGUUCCAUGUUAUGAGAUAAAGGCCUCUUUUGACAUCAAUCCUGGGACAUCUUUAGCAACUUGGGAUCAUGAUUCCUCUAAAUCUUAUGGUUUAUGGUUAAAGCGCAUGCUGUUCUCAAUUUAACUAAUAAAAUAUGGCUGUUUUCAAGUAUUUUUAUGUUGACUUGACAAAUUUCUUGCUCUUGAACUAUAAUGAAAUAUCAGGAACCCAUCCAACUAUUUCCUCCACUGCCCACUGGAUGGACAUGAGAAUGAGGAUGAAUACAAGCAUGAAGAACAGAUCAAGAUCAUUCAAGAGUUCACUCGAUAGUUUGAAGAAGCACUUGAGCGUUCAUGGUUCAAUAAACUUAAUGAUUUGGUUGAGUUAAGAGAGAGAAGUUAGGGCAAUUUUAGAAGGACUAUAAAUAAAUUCUAAUAGACUAGAACAUUAAUCAUAC